AUUGUUUGGUACUUUCUAUACAUCAGCUAAGAAGUCUUUGAAACUUUCAUUUAGGGACUAGGACAAGGGAAGGAAAGAAAAGAAAGCCUGGAGUUUUUCAUAAUAGUGCGCUGCUUAUGAAGUCCUGUGAAGCACAGAACAUACAAGAUGGGUGAUAAAAGCAGUGAGAUUUCAUCCCCUGCUUCACAAUGGAUUCCCUAAAUUAAUAGAUUUCCAUUAUACUUGCAGAAUUUUAAAUAAUUUAGCCAACAAGACCUGGCUCCUGCUUUUUGUUGGAAACAGCAGGUGGCAAUAUAAUUUCAAGCAUCUUUUCAAAACUUUCUCAUAGAGAAAAUCAUCUUAUAAGGACUAUAAAACAAAUUUCACAGUCCAUUUAUAUUUCUUUUUCUUUUAAUAUUUUGUUAAUUAUUAGUUGUUCCAGGCAAGUGAUAUGUUCUUUCAAAAAGCUGAUAGUUGACUAGUGGUUUCAGAACUUGGGUAAAAACCAGUUGUGUUCUUUGUAGACAAAUAAGACUAUCUACAAUACUUGUUCUGCAUAUGUGGAACUGGAUCUUUCAAAACUGGCAAGUCUUUCAGGCAUUUGAUAAAAUAUUACGCAAAAUAAAAUUAUUUAGGCAAACAAGCAGAUUGUAAAUUGUGUAAAAGGACUUCCUACAUGGUAAAAAAAAUUAUUGAUUCCAUACUACACACUUGGCUGAAUGUUAUGAGGGCCAGAUAAGUUCUUUUUUACUUUCAGACUGCCUUGGGAAUGUCCUGUGUCAUUCCCGCAUUAAGAGGCCAAAGUCUAAAAAUAUCCAAAGUCCCUUAACAAAGCUGCAGUUUCACAACCAGCAUUCCCAAGUCUUUGAUUUAUCAUUCUAGAGGACUGAAUAAAAAUGCUUUCAGGCUACAUGCAUCUCUCUAAGGCUCAUGAAACACUAUACAAGCACUUCAAUCACUCAUUAAUUAAACUUUUGAAUAGCUCAUAUAAGCCAGGUAAGAGGAUGAGAUUUCAGUGGGAGGUAGGUGUUAUGAAAGCCCCAUCAGGUGUCUGUCUUGAUCUCCAGACACAUAAAUACCAUUAAUAUCUGGUUAUAACUGACUUAAGAGAACAAGUCACAUUGAUUUUUUUCAAUCACUUCCUCAUGAGAACCCCACUCAGAAUGGUUGUAUCUCUUUUCUAGGUGGAUAAAUGGAUUGGCACAAUGAUUAAAUUCAGCACAGUCAGUGAUGCCUUGUGGAAGCUGGAACAAAGGACUUUGGCUUGGAAUUCAGUUUGCAAAUGUAUUUACAAUGCAAAUGCAGCUGAGAGGGUCCCCCAAGAAUACAUUUCUUUGGGGCUUGCAUAUGGAAUGUAGCCAGAUUUGUAUUUGGCAUUGUUGCUGCAUGAGCAAGUGUUUUUUUAAAUAGUUGAAUAUUGCUAGUGUGGUUUGAGUCCAUUAAUUUCUGGUUUUUAACUUACUUUUGGAGGAGGGGAUUCUAAACCUUUUCAGAACAAUAUAACUUCCAUAGAAAGUGUAUCCUUAUACCCUACAAUAUCAGAAAUCAGAUUUCAGGGCAGAAAUCAUUAUCCUUCCUCUUAAUACUUUUAUGUAGUUUCUGUACCCAGCCAUUGCAGUACAGGAAAUCAGGAGUGUCCUUAAAGUUUCAAAUUCAUUUGUAGCUUUCAGGACUUCUGGAGUUAAAUGGGAAACCUAAACAGCUUUGGCCUUGCUUCCAAUACAUUUUAGAUAAUGCAAAUGGAAGUUUUUAGACUUGUUUCCUUGAUUGCUUCCUGCGAAAGCAACACGAUGAAGAGUAACUAUCAACUGAAUGCAAUCAAAUGCUAGCAUGAGAUGGUGUUAAUCUUUAGCCAGCAGGCACUUGAUGAUUAAUGGAAUGAACGUGUGAUCUGUGUGCCAAAUAAACUGAGUGUUGAAAUUAAAAAAAAAGUCUUUCUUUAAAGAAAAUAAUUUGCUUUUGGAUACUCGAAUUGAUACAGGACUGCCUGUUCUGAUUCUAAACUAUAAUUCCAAACGGGCUUAUGUGAUGUCCAUAAACUAGUCCUUAUAUCUGAUGUCAUAGAUUACUACAUACUGAGAAGUUUAUGAACAGUAGAAUAUUUCUAAAAUAUAUUUCUCUGUAGCAGAGGAAUUCAGUUUCUGAAACCUGCCUUUGUGGCCAAGCAAUGUGCAGGCCAUCCAUACCAUACUUGUGUUCUCAGUGUGGGGUUUUGCACAUUUCCUUCAUACAGAUGGAUUUAAAUGAUAGCCGUGCUUGAGAUUGUGUUUGCAUAGCUUGUUCUGUGGAGUAUUAAUACUUUUAUAUUCUCAAAUAUGCACAGUUUAGACCACCAAGAAGCACAUAAGGAAUGUAAAGAAAGUAUGUUCUACCUGCACCAUUAAACUGGGAGGAGAGACUUGGGAGUAAACAACCCAAAUUUAUGUAAAUUGAAACCUGCAGCAGUCUUUUCCUUCCAUAACAUACAAAUCCAUGGGUUUGAUUGGGCUGCAGUCAGAUGGAUGAGUGGUAAAAAUGGCUGUUGUUCCAGUGGAGUUGCACCAUAUCAGAAUGAAAAAAUCUUAAUUUCCACUUGAGAUAAAAGCUUCAAUUGGCUGCUUGGGCUCUAUAGCAUUUGCCAUAAGUACUGGUGAAGUAUUUUGUGUAUUUGUGCAUCUCAUGCACACCUAAGAAUGGUAACCUUUGCACUCACUUCUGUAGGAAUUAUUCAGAGAUGACAUAACUGGAUCUUUCCCAGAAAGGUUACUCACUUUUUAAAGCAAGCCUGCUUCAAAAGGACAGGUGUGGUAGCUGCAGAUCUGUUUGUGCACAGCACUUUCAAAUUGCACAUAGCCAUAGUUCUCCUCACAGCCAGUUCCUGUACUGUUUCUUCACGUGGAAAUUUUAAUUGAAAAAAAAAUCUGAAAUCCAUCACAAAAACUCUUUCAAUGUUUAUGUGACUAAAAAGGACUUGUAUGUAGUGUUAUGAUAGAAGUGGUAUCAAGUGUAGAAGUAGAACUUAUGUAUGGUAAGGCAAAAGGCUAUCAAGGAAAGAAUGUAUUGCUGUCUUAAGUUAAGAAUGUGAGGGGCUGCAGAUUUUUCCCAAAUUUUCUUUCUGCAUUCUUACUAGCAAAGAAACAAAACCUCAUGGUCCUUUACUGUAAUACAGAGUGACUGUCAAAACAUGAAGUUGUCAUGCUCCUUACAAAUAUAUUUCUCAAGAGGUGUUGGGAAAGAAUAAAUUUUGCACCAAAAUAACAGUAUUUUCGGGUAAAGAGAGAUUAGAGUGCUAUUUAUAUAAUGCUAAUAUGUACUGUCAACUUUGGAUUUAAAAAAAAAUUAAAUUAAAAAUUAUCAGCUUAUUAAAUGGGGAUGGACAAGUGUUCCUCUGGAGCAAUGCAUCAUUUUUUUCCUACCCCUAAAAAUAUAUUUUGAUGUAGUUUAUAAUUAAACACUAUAAAAGCAAGGAUUACCACUUAACAUUUCAUUUUUGUCAGAAAAGCAUCUCCUGCAAAAUACUUACAAAUGAGUCUCUUCUGCAGUCUUGACUGAAAUGCAUUAUGCAGAAAUCUGACAACUGCUCAGUACAAUUUGCAAGCUGCAGAGAAUUCAAAAUAGUCUUUGAUGUCUAGGCAGAAAUUCACUGUACAGCAGGGAGUUUAGGUUGGUUCUCUGCAUUUUAUCAGCCCAUGUUGUGUUUAAUUAAGACAUGGCAAGCGUCUCAGGAUUAGCCUUUGACAGCUCAGAGUUUUUGCUCCAGGUUAAUAAGCCUGAUUUUUUUCCCCUCUCCCAUUUUUCCCCUUCAUAAAAUUCCAACAGGCUGUCAAAUCUUCUACUGCUUUUCCUGAAGGAGCCUUAUUUUGGACAGAGACAUCAGAUUGGCACUGGGAGUUUUUCAGCUUCAUGCAUAGUAACUGGCCCACGUGGGCUGAUGAGAUUGUAUUACAUAGGAGCAGUUAAUGCUAUAAAAUUAAUAUCUCACAGUAGGUGUAAAAUAAAUGUCCAAUAUGAGGACUGAAGAAACUGUCCUCACGAGAAAUCAAUCAGUAUGGAUUGGAAUAUACACCAAUAAAAGUCAAGUGAAAAACAACAGGAACCUUAGCAAGAACAGCAAAAAAAACCCAAAUAAUUGAAUCAUAGUAAUGAUGUUUGUUUGUUAUUGUUAUCAAAUAUUAAUGAUUUUCAUGAAACCUGGAAAAACUCUGGUAAAUCAAAUACUAAUAAAGUAAAACUGGUUUUUAGUUUAAAAAUUAAGAAUGUUGUCUUAAAGAGACCAAAGGAGAGAAGAGGGAGAAACUUAAGUGCUCUGCAUACAAAAAAUGGGUCAAGCCACUGAAUUUUUCUGAGCAAGCUCUUGAUCAAAUCUUAUACCUUCCCUCUCCUUUAUUCUGCUUUUGUAUGCAUACACUUUUGAAGUGCAACUUACCUUAAAAUGUCCAUAAAUUAAAAACUCCUAAGAUAAAAACAACUAUAUCCAUUCAAUAGGAAAUGUUCAUCAGAGCUUGGACAAAUCAUUAUGCAGAGAACAUUCUAGGAGAAAGCACUGAAGCAAUCAAACUUAAACCAGCUGCAGAAAUAAAAAAGAAAAUUAUAGCUUUGGCAAAUGAAUGCUAGUAAUUAUAUUUCCAUCACUUUGUAUUAUAUUGUUUGUCUUCUUGGGAUAAGAUUGAACUUAUUCAGUCUGAGCCAUUCUGAUUGUUAGAACUUGGGCAAAGGGACUGUUCAAAAGAAGCCCUGAGGGAAAGCAAAACCAUGUGUUCACAUUGCAAUGGAUCAUAUCUGAAAAGUGAAAGGUGUGUUCUGAGCUCCUGGUGCUUCCUCUGUUCAAUUUCUAAAGCCAAAUUUUCCAGGGAUUUUAGGGUGGACUCAGCACUGAGUUGCAGAGCUCCCUCAGCUUGGGAAGUGAGGGUGGGUAUAAAGGGGCUUAUUUUUGUGCAGGAAAUAAAUGGAGCCCUGACAGUAUGUACAAACAAAUAUUUUUUUUUCUCCAAAAAUGAAUGUUUGCAUGCUUUUUAAAAAUUUCUGACUGAGGGGCAACUACAGAGAUGCUGCACAAGUUAAAGUGGUCAGUGAAGGUAAGUACAGUAAGUACAAAGAUUACACUACAUUGUAACAUGAUUUAGGAAAAUAAUUAAUAUACCCUUGUGGUGUUUAGGGAAUAUGGGACUAUUUUGUGUAUUUAAAAGUUUUGUUGAGAUCACCAAUCUACAUUAAAGUUUGUUUGUCUGAUAAAGGUAGGGAAAUACAUCCAUGGGCCACAGGCAAAAAUGAGCCUGUGGAGAUCUUUGCCUAAAUCAUGCAUGAAAAAAAUAACCAAAGCAGUAAUUGCAGUUUCAGCUGAGUAGAAUAAAUAAUUGCAGAAACUGAUUUGGUUAAAAAUCAUAAACUACACUGAAUCCUCCUGCCUGUUAAAUUUAACAAUAGAAAAAGGCUUUUAGAAUUGGAAAUAUUUUGCUUUUAUGCUUAUGCCUUGUUUUUAACCUGUCCAAACCUUAGGUAUAGCUGAAACAGAAAAUGCAGCAUAAUAGAGAUUUAACAAAAAGGGAAAGAAUGACCUAUGCUAAUGUAAUGCUUCCUGUCAUCUUUUGUAUGAGUGUUCCAUUUUGUCAAGUUUUCUAAGCAAAGCUCUUUAACUGUAAAUUGCUUCUUAAACCAAGUUAGGCUUGAUCUUGGAUAUAUUUCAAAAUAAUUUAAAUAAAUCUCAACAAAUGCUACUUGCUGAGUAUUAUCAUUUUCAUUAGUGCUUUAGAAUUUCUGAGCAUGUAAAUUAAUUUAGUUGUAGUCCUUAUCAGUCUUUGAAGAGAAUGUUAAUUAUAUUUGGCAAUAAUUGUUUUGCAGAAAAUUGGGAAAUCAGCCUGGAUCUCUUGAACAGUUUAUGAUUCAAUCCCACUUCAUGAGAAAUCAGCAACAUAGAGCACUUGAGACCUCUCUGAUGACCUUUCUAUACCUGUGAAGUUUGAAUAAACCAAAUAACACCACCAUGGGAUUAAACUAAAUUUUAAGGCCACUUGGGAGAUCAUAAAAUGCUUACACAUUUAACUCUUGGUUUGGUUUUUUUGCUCUACUUGUGUCUUAGUCAUUUCUACACCUCUGAAAGCGUUCUGCACUCCCAGCUGCUCUGCCAAGAGAAUCUCUAAGAUCCACGCUAAUUACAUGGGUGGGUUUGGUGACCACAGCUUAAAUUUCAAAUGGCAAUAUGCAGAUCUUGAAUAUUUUCUGUUCUAUAUCAGAGCUGCAUGAUUUUGGAACACCUCAGUUUGAGCUUCAGUAGCAUACAGGAUUUGUCUUUUAAUAACUCAGUGUAGGAGAACUGCAGUACCCCAACCGUCUGCUUUCUGCUGAACUCCCUGAAGUAGCCAAUUUUGUCUUGCAGACGUGGCUGCUGCACAUGCUGAGUGCUGAUUGCAAGUAUUAUCUUAAGAGAAUCACUUCUCAAUAUUUAGGAACGUGACUCUUCUUUCAAAGGCAUGCUUUUGGGCUUUUAUACCCCUGCUGGCUUCAUCUCACCAGGAGCUACCUGUCAGACGCCAUCCUUCAGUUCCACAGCUGCCUUUGCUGCCGGCUGUGUUUAUCAAAAAAAAAAAAAAAAAUGGGAGGAAGAAGA